CCUACGGGUGGCAGCAGUGGGGAAUAUUGGGCAAUGGGCGCAAGCCUGACCCAGCAACGCCGCGUGAAGGAAGAAGGCCCUCGGGUUGUAAACCUCUUUUAUCAAGGACGAAACAAAUGACGGUACUUCAUGAAUAAGCCACGGCUAACUACGUGCGAGCCGCCGCGGUAAUACGUAGGUGGCAAGCGUUAUUCGGAUUUACUGGGUGUAAAGGGCGGGUAGGCGGGACUGCAAGUCAGAGGUGAAAACCAUGGGCUCAACCCAUGGACUGCAUUUGAAACUGUAGUGCUUGAGUGUUGGAGAGGAUGGCGGAAUUCCGGGUGUAGCGGUGAAAUGCGUAGAUAUACGGAGGAACACCAGUGGCGAAGGCGGCCUGCUGGACCAUAACUGACGCUGAGGCGCGAAAGCGUGGGGAGCAAACAGGAUUAGAUACCCGAGUAGUC
rnacentral:rRNA from 1 species